AACGUAGGUGGCAAGCGUUAUCCGGAAUUACUGGGCGUAAAGGGUGUGCAGGCGGGGUGGCAAGUGGUGUAUGAAAUCUCCCAGCUUAACUGGGAUAGGUUAUGCCAGACUGCUUCUCUAGAGGACGAGAGAGGGGCGUGGAAUUCCGGGUGUAGUGGUGAAAUGCGUAGAUAUCUGGAGGAACACCGGUGGCGAAGGCGGCAUCCUGGACCAAUACUGACGCUGAGGAGCGAAAGCCAGGGGAGCAAACGGG
rnacentral:rRNA from 1 species